rnacentral:rRNA from 1 species
GGUUAAGCGACUAAGCGUACACGGUGGAUGCCCUGGCAGUCAGAGGCGAUGAAGGACGUGCUAAUCUGCGAAAAGCGCCGGCGAGGUGAUAUGAACCUUUGACCCGGCGAUGUCCGAAUGGGGAAACCCAGUGUGAUUCGUCACACUAUCGUUAACUGAAUACAUAGGUUAACGAGGCGAACCGGGGGAACUGAAACAUCUAAGUACCCCGAGGAAAAGAAAUCAACCGAGAUUCCCCCAGUAGCGGCGAGCGAACGGGGAGCAGCCCAGAGUCUGAAUCAGCUUGUGUGUUAGUGGAAGCGUCUGGAAAGUCGCACGGUACAGGGUGACAG